GAUCAGAGUGGUUCCAUUUCAAGCUGCAUCUGGACCUCCAGCUUCUACCUAAGGCAGAACUAACCUUCCUGAAUGUCCUGAGCACAUGAAGAGCCAAAUUUGCAGUGGAGAGACGGUCCCUGAGAAGCACAGAGGCAGGAGGGCCUUGCAAAGGAAGAGCACUGAAGGAAGGAGCCAAUGUGAGUAAAGCACCAAAGGACUGGCUCUGACCCUGACCCAGAAGCAUCUCACCUCCACGCUCUUCGCAGCAAGAUGCCACACUUUCAACCUCGUCCAGGUGAUGGAGACUUAUGGAACACAAUCUCGGACUUCAUUAUCCUCCGCUGGAUCAGUUCCCUGAAGUGGAUGUCAGACUGAUUUCACAACUAGAUGGGUCAGCACAGGAAGGACUGUGGUGCAUGGAAAGAAGCAAUGAGGAGGGAAUCCUGGAUUGCUGGAAACCACAAUUGCCUCAAAACUCGCCGUAACACAAAUCCACAGAUCAGGAGCUGCUUGUAAUGAAGCAACGACAUUCAUUCCCAUCUGAAGAUGAGGCAGAGAAAGAGCAAGAGUGAUGUUUCUUCAUCACUUCACUGAAGUUCACCUUUCCGUGCAGCACCAGCUCCAGGGGCAGAGAGCGGAUCCUGCCGUGGGGAGAGGAUGCUACACCCCACCGACACUGCGGAGGCACAGAGAUUCAAUCAUGCACCUUGUUCCAAAAUAUCAUGACACGGUUGCAAGCAGGAAGAUGAGAGUUAGAUAAAAUGGUGGACAUUCUAAUUUAUUUUGCAGCCUUUCAAUGGAUAGUGCUGACAACUGAGAAAAGCACAGUUGUUUAUUGCUCGUGGGUUUGCUAAUACAGCAAUAUGAGGAAUGGGACUGCUUUGGUACUGUCGAACCUCAACAGCACAAAAAGUGUUGGCUUUUUGUCAAUUUAGCUUAAAUGACUUCCCACUUUCACUAGUGAAAAGUCCUUUUCUGGCCAGUAUUCCAGAGUUUGUGUUGAACUGCCUUUUUUGCUGGCCUGAUUUGAGAGUAAGGUAUUGUACUUCUAAAAGUGCUGUUAGCAAAACUGUAAUCCAGGCCUCACAUGUUAUUUUGGUCCAUAUGUUAUUUAUUUUAGUCUCUGAAGGUUCCCAAAUACUAUAUAUUUACCCUUGCUCUUUAAAGUUAUUGUUAGUUACAAAAUAUUAGAAACAUAGUUUCAUCUAUAAAAUGCAUAAUUAAAUUAAUCUUUACCAUACUUUUUUUUACAUCAUACAGGAAAUAUUUUAGUCUGAUGAAUACCAUGGACAUAUAAUUAGUACUUUCUACCAUAAACUAGAUUACAACUUACACUGUCCACCCUGGCUCCAAAAAUCCUUGCAGAUUUUAAUUCAAUUGCUCCACUUUAUCUGGAUGAAAGCAUUUGAAUUCUAUUAUUAUUAUUCAGUGCGGAUUUGUGCCUUUAUAUAGGUUAGAUGUGGUAGAAGAUUUAAACAGAAGCUUAGUGGAAGUCUCAAAUUAGGCAUUUGCAUCUAUAUUUAGGCAUCUACGAGAUUUUAAAUGCUGAACAUCUAAUUUUUCUAGCUGAGGUUUGCCUAAGUUAGGGUUUAAUGGGAAUCAAGGCUGGAUGAUAAAAAUAGAGGGAAACUAAUUUUGAGGUAUUUCUGAAUUUCAAUGGGAAUCAGGCUCAGAGUCUUUUGAAAGCCCUCUUACAUGCCUGUCUGUGCCUUUCAACGCUUAAACACCUUUCAGAAUCUGGC